CAGCACGCUGUGUACCACUUUUGCUGGGUACGCCCACUCUGCCCGCACCUUGAAACCUGACCAGGUCUUCUCCCACCCCAUGAAUGUAAACAUUUUAACAACUAGCCUGACUGUGAAAAGCCCGGAGAAUCCUUCCUACAGGGGACAGUGGUGCAAAGAGAAGUUGGACAGGCGCCCACACCUGGCUGGCACGCACACCUGUGUGCACCGAGGGGGAACUGACGAGGACCUGAAUUGCCGAGCCAGGCUGCAUUUCGCCUAACAGAGAAGGAGACAAAACCAACCCGGUGGCCACGUGGCCGAAGGCACAGAGCUGUUGAGUGGCAGCGUGGCAUUUGAAUUCAGGCCGGUGAUGCUGAAGUCCCCAGGUCUUUUUUUUUUUUUG